GCGACCCCUCUAGUUGCCCAGAGAGGGGAAGGGGCUGACCCAGGCCACACCAGUGCCAGGGCGGGGAAGGUGGGGCUGGGACGUGUUUGAUCCCAAGGAAGGAAGCCAGAGUCUUCUCUCCAGGCCUGGACACCCUGGGAAGUCCCCACCCGCCGUCCAGCCGCGGGCUCACGUGGACCCAGUGUGGGGAGCAUCCCCUGGGGAGUGUGGAGAUGCUCCCUGCGAGGCCGGGAGAGUGGGGGUCCGAGAAGACGGCGCCCACAGGUAGCCCUGACCGCGCGCCCGUGCCCGUGUCCGUCCAGAGUGUAACUGCAACCAGAUAGGCUCCGUGCACGACCGGUGCAACGAGACCGGCUUCUGCGAGUGCCGCGAGGGCGCGGCCGGCCCCAAGUGCGACGACUGCCUCCCCACGCACUACUGGCGCCAGGGCUGCUACCCCAACGUGUGCGACGACGACCAGCUGCUGUGCCAGAACGGAGGCACCUGCCUGCAGAACCAGCGCUGCGCCUGCCCGCGCGGCUACACCGGCGUGCGCUGCGAGCAGCCCCGCUGCGACCCCGCCGACGAUGACGGCGGUCUGGACUGCGACCGCGCACCCGGGGCCGCCCCGCGCCCCGCCACCCUGCUCGGCUGCCUGCUGCUGCUGGGGCUGGCCGCCCGCCUGGGCCGCUGAGCCCCGCCCGGAGGACGCUCCCUGCACCCGGAGGCCGGGGGUCCCGGGGUCCCGGGGCGGGG
rnacentral:sRNA from 1 species